GUGGGGAAUCUUGCGCAAUGGGCGAAAGCCUGACGCAGCCAUGCCGCGUGAAUGAUGAAGGUCUUAGGAUUGUAAAAUUCUUUCACCGGGGACGAUAAUGACGGUACCCGGAGAAGAAGCCCCGGCUAACUUCGUGCCAGCAGCCGCGGUAAUACGAAGGGGGCUAGCGUUGCUCGGAAUUACUGGGCGUAAAGGGCGCGUAGGCGGACAGUUUAGUCAGAGGUGAAAGCCCAGGGCUCAACCUUGGAAUUGCCUUUGAUACUGGCUGUCUUGAGUACGGGAGAGGUGAGUGGAACUCCGAGUGUAGAGGUGAAAUUCGUAGAUAUGCGGAAGAACACCAGUGGCGAAGGCGACUCACUGGCCCGUUACUGACGCUGAGGCGCGAAAGCGUGGGGAGCAAACAGGAUUAGAAACCCCGGUAGUCC
rnacentral:rRNA from 1 species